rnacentral:misc_RNA from 1 species
GAUGAAGAACGUAGCGAAAUGCGAUAAAUAAUGUGAAUUGCAGAAUUCAGUGAAUCAUCGAGUCUUUGAACGCACAUUGCGCCCCCUGGUAUUCCGGGGGGCAUGCCUGUCCGAGCGUCAUUGCUGCCCUCAAGCACGGCUUGUGUGUUGGGCCCCCGUCCCCCCCUCCCGGGGGACGGGCCCGAAAGGCAGCGGCGGCACCGCGUCCGGUCCUCGAGCGUAUGGGGCUUUGUCACCCGCUCUGUAGGCCCGGCCGGCGCCUGCCGACCACCAUCAAUCUUUUUUCAGGUUGACCUCGGAUCAGGUAGUGAUACCCGCUGAACUUAAGCAUAUCAAUAAGCGGAGGA